rnacentral:rRNA from 1 species
GAAAACCUGCUUAAAUUUUUGUAUUUGUUCUAUUCUCCACCUUUAUAAAUGUAUUUUUAGAUUGAUAUUAAUUAGAUAGCAAUAUUUAAUUUCUUACAAACCUUCGAUCAUUUUAUAAAACAUAUAAAUAUAAGAAUAUCUCUUAGAAUAGAUUCAGCCAUGAAGCAUUUAUUCUAAAUCGGUGACACAGAAUCGGAGGCCUCGACUGUUUAAUAAAAACACAUCUCAGUGCAAUGAUGAAAAUCAUAGUAUACUGAGUGAAAUUUGCUCGAUGCCAUUAAUAUAAGAGAGGUCAUAGAAAUGUGACUAAUGAAAGUCUGGUUAAUAGCGGUCUUAACUAUGAGGAUCCUAAGGUAGCAAAAUCAAUUGGCCAUUAAAUGUGGUCCCAGUAUCAAUAGUGUAACGAAGGUCUCACUGUCUCUACAACUUGCUCAGGAAAUUGAAU